UCAGACCGAGGGUCCAGAGGCAACCACAAUGAGCAGAUCGCUCUUGUGCUCAUUAGAUUGCAGGAGGGAAUGUCCUUCAGAGACUUCAUAAACUGGAAACGCUAACUGCAGGCAAAAUUAUCUUUGUAGACAAGUAAUCAGCCCUCCUCACAGAGACCAGUUUGAUGGCUCUUUGAGAUGUCCCCUGGUGCAUUAGCUUUUGCUAGUAUACGCCCUUUUAUUUCUCAGUGGUUGGCACACUUGUAUUAUCAAAGAAGGAGAAGAAAACUAAAUUGA
rnacentral:lncRNA from 1 species